GAUGAACGCUGGCGGCGUGCCUAAUACAUGCAAGUCGAGCGAAAAGACGAGGAGCUUGCUCCUCGGACGUGAGCGGCGGAGGGGUGAGACACACGAGUAUAACCUACCUAUCAGACUGGGAUCACUUGGGGACACCGGAGCAAAUCCCGUAUAAGAUCCUGAACCGCAUGGGUCAAUGGUGAAAGACGGCUUUUGUGUCUCUUAUAGAUGGAUCCGCGCCGCAUUAGCUAGUUGGUAAGGUAAAGGCUUAUCAAGGCAACGAUGCGUAGCCGACCUGAGAGGCGGAUCGCCCACACUGGAGCUGAGACACGGUCCAGACUCCUACGGGAGGGAGCAGUCGGGAAUCGUCCGCAAUGGGCGAAAGCUUGACGGAGCAACGCCGCGUGAGUGAUGAAGGUCUUCCGAUCGUAAAGCUCUGUUAUUAGGGAAGAACAAAUGUGUAAGUAACUAUGCACGUCUUGACGGUACCUAAUCAGAAAGCCACGGCUAACUACGUG
rnacentral:rRNA from 1 species